AUAGGGUAAAUCGUUGGACGUAUUAUUAACACUAAGAUUGUUUGUGGCAGCCACACUAUCAAACAGACAGAAAGCAAGGACAAAGUAUACUACUAUAUAUUGAAAUUAAAACUGCAAAUCGUACCACAGCUGAGCAAGUAACUGAGAAAUGUCUGAGUAUUUGGAACCAGGUGAUUUGGUGAUUUUCUAUCGCACAGGAUACAGACAUUGGACAGUGUAUUCGUAUGACGAUCAGGUCAUUAGUUUCACAGAUGAUGGGUGGAUUAGAGAAGUAGAUUUUGAGGUUGCCCAGGAAAACUCGCAAGUGGCAUGGCAAAGCGAUCCUAGGCAAAGACUGAAUGGGCUACAUUUGGCUCUGCUAUUUUAGCAGCUCUCGGGGUGGCAACUGCAGGAGCGGUAGCAGUGGGGGCAGUUGCAGCUACAACAAUAGUGGCAGCAGCAUCCGUUGCAAAUGCUACUCUAUCUUCUAGUACUUACAAACACCGCAACACCGGAGAAGAAAAGAAAAUCUUCAAACGAUCGAAAGACCCCAGAAAGCGCUACAUCAAUUAGAAUAUGUAUUAUAACGUUGUUUCUUUUUCAGUAAAUAUUUAAAUGGCGGUGGUGUACGGCGACUUGCUAUGGUAGUUAUCAUUAAAACUCUUUGGCGCAUGUCUUUGCUAAUAGUCUUAAAUAAAGGUCUAAUUUUGUUUAAUUAUUAGUAAUAAAUUUAAGUUAUAUGGUAAAAAAAAAUUAUUACGGUAGUACCAAAGACUAUUAUGUGGCUAGAUACAUUGUAUAUCGCUAUUAAAGUAUCAAUAUCUCGUGUCGGUCUUUGCUUCAGAUCUUUGUUAUAAAUUAACGAGACUAUCACAGAGGUAGGUCAUUUGUAAAAAAUAAUAAUAAUAAUAAAAAUAAUAAUAUAAUAAUAAUAAAUAUUCUGUCAAAUGACUGUCCUCUUGCUUGUAAAUGUGAGUAAUUCAUUUAGUUUUUUCAUGAUUUGUAUUAUUUGUAAUAGUUAUACCCACACUUUACAAGGUUUAUCGGUGAACAUCCCUACAGUUUUGGUCAUGGGUUCUGACUUAUACAGUGCUCGAAGUUACGAAUUUUUCACCCAUGGCAAUUACAAAAACAAAUUGUUUUAAACUGACUUUUGCAGAAAAUAAAGUUAUCUGAAAGGUUA
rnacentral:misc_RNA from 1 species